CCUUAGAGUUUGAUCCUGGCUCAGAUUGAACGCUGGCGGCAGGCCUAACACAUGCAAGUCGAGCGGAAACGAGUUGUCUGAACCUUCGGGGAACGACAACGGCGUCGAGCGGCGGACGGGUGAGUAAUGCCUGGGAAAUUGCCCUGAUGUGGGGGAUAACCAUUGGAAACGAUGGCUAAUACCGCAUAACAGCUUCGGCUCAAAGAGGGGGACCUUCGGGCCUCUCGCGUCAGGAUAUGCCCAGGUGGGAUUAGCUAGUUGGUGAGGUAAAGGCUCACCAAGGCGACGAUCCCUAGCUGGUCUGAGAGGAUGAUCAGCCACACUGGAACUGAGACACGGUCCAGACUCCUACGGGAGGCAGCAGUGGGGAAUAUUGCACAAUGGGCGCAAGCCUGAUGCAGCCAUGCCGCGUGUGUGAAGAAGGCCUUCGGGUUGUAAAGCACUUUCAGCAGUGAGGAAGGGUGUGUAUUUAAUAGAUGCACA
rnacentral:rRNA from 1 species